rnacentral:lncRNA from 1 species
UCAAAAAUCACAGUUGUACAAGCCCAUUUUGCUCGGGCCCAAAAACCCACCUAAACCUACGCAAACCCAACCAAAUUAACCUAAACCCGAGCCCAAUUACAUCAGGCCCAAAGUCUCAGCCCCAAUAGUCAAACUAGGGUUUUAGUUUUCUGAAACCCUAGCCUACGCCGCAGCCACCGACCCUAAUUGCCACCACCUACUCCGCCGC